UCCAGAAAUCCAGUGGGUGAUUCAGC
rnacentral:piRNA from 1 species